UUUNUUUUUUUUUUUUUUUUUUUUAGGACCACAUCCAUGACAUAUGGAGGUUCCCAGCCCUAAAAAGCAGAAAAAAUGAAAAACAAAAACAACAAAAAACAUAAAGCUGAAACUCAGCAAUGCUGGUACAAGUCAUUAUAAACUAUCACAUGGUUUAUAACAGAAACAGUCUUUCUCAACCACAAAAAAAAAAUGUCAGUUACAAUUAGAGAUUUUUUUCAAUUUUCAAAAGAUUGGGUCUCCACUAAGGAGGAUGUGAUAGUCUUGAUAUUCUGGAGUUGAAAAUAUGAAGAAAAGGAAAAAGGGACAUAUUGGUUGUGGAAAACGGAUAUAAACAAACCGAUACAAAUACAACACAAAACAAAGCAAUUAUUUUUUAUUGUGUUUGGCCAAAAAAGAUCCUAAGAAGAAAAGCAUAAAUUCUAAAUUCACUCCCAAAUAAAUCACUAACUAUAACAUUUUUAGACAUGCUCAUUGUUAAUGGGGUGUACAAGUCUAUAUCAGGAGACAAUUCUCCUUGUUCUCUUGUGUUUCUACACAUCUAUGAGGAGAGUACUGAUGGUAUUUAUUUUUGAAUAUCUUUUCAGAAUGUUUGUAUAGUCAACAGCCUUGGAUGGCAGAAAUAUAAUGUCUUCCUCUGAGCAAAGAGCAGGUUUACUUACAGCCUUUGAAGUUAGAGACAGUCUCUCUUUGGAGCAAUGUGAAGUCAUACUUAUUGCCCAUUAUGAGCACAGAAUUUCUCUUCUGUAAAGCAAUCCAUCAAAUGUACAGCUGUCCCCUGAAUCUUUUCAAGUUGUCCUGUGGAAAUUGGGGUCCAAGAAAACUGACACAAGAAAAAUGAUGAUGUCCUUGCCACUACUAUUGCUGUGGGUUAAAAAAUGUCCUUUGUUUCUGACCCAGGAGUCUCAUACCUUCUGUCAUGAAACUGUGGUAAGGCUAACUUGUUAUCCUGUAAGUAGGAUAAAAUUUUAGGACUUUCCCAGUUCUUGACCCAUUUUCCAGAUAAAUGGAACUUGAUGCCUUAAAUCUUAAAUAAAUUUGAAGCUCAUACUUCUGAAAUAGUCAGGUUUUAUAAAUUAUUAGCUAUAUGGUCUUGGAAAUGUUAUGUAAUCUCUCUAGGAUUCAGUUUCAUUGUUUGCAAAGUAAGGGUAAUAAUGUUUUUCCUGUCUCCUAGGAUUGUUGUGAUGAGUUGAAUGGAUAUAUGCAAAGUACUUAGAAGUGUGUCUCACAUUUAAUAGAUGUUUAAUUAAUGUUGGUUAUUAUAACUUUUUUUUUAAUUUAGGGGGAAAGAAUAUGAAAAGUUGCCCAUAAUUUCACCAUCAACUGCAUAGGUUGUUUUCAUUUUGAUACUCCUUCUGUUGUCUUUUGUUUUGAUAUUUAUUUCCAUAAUUUUAGUAUAUCUAGAACCACUCUUUGAAGAAAAGUUUUUUAAAAUAUAUUACAUAUUACAUUGGUUUUAUUUAGGUACUUUUGGUGGCAGAGAAAAGGGUUAUCCACAGUUUAAAUCUUGGCUCUCUGACCAAAGAUCUUGGACAUUAAGAUCAUCAGAAUGGUCCAAAGGAACAAAAAUUUGGAGAAAGAUGCCAUGUGUACUGAGCUUAUUGAGGAGUUUCAACUCUUUGAAAUGGGAACAUGAAGCUGUGAUGUAAACUAAUUUUUUCCCCCUUUUUCUUUUUAGGGCCACACUUAUGGCAUAUGGAAGUUUCCAGACUAGGGGCUGAAUCAGUAUUGCAUUGCCAGCCUGCACCACAGCCCUAGCAAUGUGGGAUCUGAGUCUCAUCUGCAACCUACACCACAGCUCACGGCAAUGCCGAAUCCUUAACCCACUGAGUGAGGCCAAGGAUAGAACCCCCAUCCUCAUGGAUACUAGUUGGGUUCAUAACCCACUGAGCCAUAACGAGAACUUCUAUGAUGUAAGCUACUUUUAAUUACAGUAUAACAAAUUGCCCUUUUCAUUCUUUGUGACAUUUCAUCAGAUUCCACUAAGUUUUUGUACACUUCAAAUAAAUAAUAUUGCCCAAUAAUAUAGCUGAUUCAAAGUCUUCACUAUCCAUGCUUCAUAACAAUUUACAAUUGUAUUUAGAUAGAACUGGAUAUGAAAGGAACAGCUGAUGACGUGCCACACUUUCUUUGUGGGCAGACUCCUCCAAUGGUGAAAGCAGGGAAAAGGAAUGAAUUUAUAAGCUAACUAGUUGUAUGUUGAUAUGGGAUGUGACCCUGCUUUUUAAUUUAUCCUAGUUUACCCUGGUACUAGUAGGUUCCCCCGUAGGUCGUGGGAAUGGUAUUUUGGGGAAUAACUUGAGCUUUACUCUUGCGUUCCCUGAUGCUAAUGAAUCCUCUUAGAGAGAAGUAUAUUAAUUUCCCUUCAAUUUUUCCAUUCAUAGAACUCUAGGUUUUCUUUCUCCAAUUUUUCCAUCUAACCUAUAUUUGAGAUGUAAAUUCAGAUGUUAAGUUUUCCCAAUGAAAGGCAAAAAUCUAAGAGUGAUUUUUCAAGGGCAGCUCUCUCCACACAGCCGCACACCCCAAGUUGACCAAAGCACUUGCAUGUAGGAAGACAUAGUCUCUCUGAAUCACUGUCUUCUCAAUG
rnacentral:lncRNA from 1 species